AUUGAACGCUGGCGGCAGGCCUAACACAUGCAAGUCGAACGAGUGGCGGACGGGUGAGUAAUGUCUGGGAAACUGCCUGAUGGAGGGGGAUAACUACUGGAAACGGUAGCUAAUACCGCAUAACCUCGGAUGUGCCCACAUGGGAUUAGCGUGUUGGUGGGGUAACGGCGCACCAAGGCGACGAUCCCUAGCUUGGCUGAGAGGAUGACCAGCCACACGGGAACUGAGACACGGGCCAGACUCCUACGGGAGGAAGCAGUGGGGAAUAUUGCACAAUGGGCGCAAGCCUGAUGCAGCCAUGCCGCGUGUAUGAAGAAGGCCUUCGGGUUGUAAAGUACUUUCAGCGGGGAGGCGUUACCCGCAGAAGAAGCACCGGCUAACUCCGUGCCAGCAGCCGCGGUAAUAC
rnacentral:rRNA from 1 species